rnacentral:rRNA from 1 species
UACAGAGGGUGCAAGCGUUGUUCGGAAUUACUGGGCGUAAAGGGCGCGUAGGCGGCCCUCUAAGUCAGACGUGAAAUCCCCGGGCUCAACCUGGGAACUGCAUCCGAAACUGCCUUGCUCGAGUAUGGGAGAGGGAAGUGGAAUUUCCGGUGUAGCGGUGAAAUGCGUAGAUAUCGGAAGGAACAUCAGUGGCGAAGGCGACUUCCUGGACCAAUACUGACGCUCAGGUGCGAAAGCGUGGGGAGCAAACAGG